rnacentral:rRNA from 1 species
AUUGAACGCUGGCGGCAGGCCUAACACAUGCAAGUCGAGCGAGCGGCGGACGGGUGAGUAAUGUCUGGGAAACUGCCUGAUGGAGGGGGAUAACUACUGGAAACGGUAGCUAAUACCCCAUACCAUCAGCUGUGCCCAGAUGGGAUUGGCUAGUAGGGGGGGUAACGGCUCACCUAGGAGACGAUCCCUAGCUGGUCUAAGAGGAUGACCAGCCACACUGGAACUGAGACACGGGCCAGACCCCUACGGGAGGCAGCAGUGGGGAAUAUUGCACAAUGGGCGCAAGCCUGAUGCAGCCAUGCCGCGUGUGGGAAGAAGGCCUUCGGGUUGUAAAGCACUUUCAGCGGGGAGGCGUUACCCGCAGAAGAAGCACCGGCUAACUCCGUGCCAGCAGCCGCGGUAAUAC